rnacentral:rRNA from 1 species
UACGGAGGGUGCGAGCGUUGUCCGGAAUCAUUGGGCGUAAAGGGUGCGUAGGUGGCAGGGUAAGUCGGAUGUGAAAUCCCGGGGCUCAACCUCGGAACUGCAUUCGAUACUGCUUUGCUUGAGUACUGGAGAGGAGAUUGGAAUUUACGGUGUAGCAGUGAAAUGCGUAGAUAUCGUAAGGAAGACCAGUGGCGAAGGCGGAUCUCUGGACAGUUACUGACACUGAGGCACGAAGGCCAGGGGAGCAAACGGG